rnacentral:rRNA from 1 species
CCUUGGGAUUCGGAAUAACAGUUAGAAAUGACUGCCUAAUACCGGAUAAUGUCUUCGGACCAAAGAUUUAUUGCCCAAGGAUGAGCCCGCGUCGGAUUAGCUAGUUGGUGAGGUAAAGGCUCACCAAGGCGACGAUCCGUAGCUGGUCUGAGAGGAUGAUCAGCCACACUGGGACUGAGACACGGCCCAGACUCCUACGGGAGGCAGCAGUGGGGAAUAUUGGACAAUGGGCGAAAGCCUGAUCCAGCAAUGCCGCGUGAGUGAUGAAGGCCUUAGGGUUGUAAAGCUCUUUUACCCGGGAUGAUAAUGACAGUACCGGGAGAAUAAGCCCCGGCUAACUCCGUGCCAGCAGCCGCGGUAAUACGGAGGGGGCUAGCGUUGUUCGGAAUUACUGGGCGUAAAGCGCACGUAGGCGGCUUUGUAAGUUAGAGGUGAAAGCCCAGAGCUCAACUCUGGAACUGCCUUUAAGACUGCAUCGCUUGAAUCAU